rnacentral:lncRNA from 1 species
AGGAAGUGACUGUAGGUUUAGAUGAAUGGAAAAUGAACUUGCCAGUUCACAGCUAUGUCCUUCCCAAUUUAGGAGGUUAAGGGCAGGAAAAACAUGAGAAACUCUUUUGAGAAGCUGCACAAGCUGACAUGGAGGAUCAAGGAUUUCAAAAGCUUUGAAUAUAAAGAGGUGUCAGACUUACAUCAGAGCCUGAGACUUGACAUGCCUAUUUUUGCACUCGCUCAUUUUUCAAAUUUCAUAGGCAUUGCUCCCUCCAAAUCACCGCUCUUCUAAUUUUAUCCUGGAGUGUGCAUCCCAGAAGACAUAAGCUGACACAAUUGGGAACUGAAGUUGCUUGAAAAAGCUGGUGGUAAGAUUAGACUCUAGACAGCUUAUACGUAUUUGGACAAGGCAACGUGAUGAAGAAAUAAUAUAAUUGUAGGAUCACCUCUGUCCAGUAGCUGUUAUCCAACAUCUGCAUACUUAGAUUUCUGGAGAGAUAUCCAUGAAUGACCAUGAAAGUACAGCAAGUGAUUUUCAAGCUGCAAACAAAUUUUAGCAAGCAAAUGGAAGAAGAAAGAGGAGAGUGGUGGUGUGUGCUUUCCCUUUAAUGGCAGAACCCAACAGUCGUACACACCACUUCUACCCUCUUAAGAUGGGUCAGAAUCCAGGCCCAAUUCCAUGUAUACAUGGAAGAGAGGCUUAUUAAAGUAGCCUUCAGUUGCUGGACAGAGUUCCAUCCAAAACUACAGUUAAUAGACAAAUUCUCCUGUUUCCCAGGCUGGAGUGCAGUGGUGCGAUCUGGGCUCACUUCAUCCUAUGCCUCCCAGGCUCAAGCGAUCCUCCUGCCUCCACCACUGGAAUAACUGGGACUACAAACUCACACCACCAUGCCUAGUUAAUUUCUGUAUCUUUUUGAGUAGAGAUAGUGUUUUGCCAUGUUAUCCAGGGUGGCCUCCAACCCGGGAGCUCAAGCCAUCCACCCUCUUCGGCCUCCCAAAGUGCUGGGAUUGCAAGCAUGAGCCACUGCACUGGCUAAUUCUUUAUUUUAAUGUUCAUGUUUUCAUUAGGCAAUUUCAGUACACCCAAGUGUAUUUUGAGAAGUGAUUCACUUUUAAUCUCUCCUAGUUUCUUUCAAUUAUGGCCGCAAAAUUCAUUAACGUUGUAUGACUGAUUUAAGGAAAUGCUGUUGCAUUAGUGAGUAUCUACUUUUAUAAACCUAAAAUAGUUUCUUACCUCAUGUCUCCUUACAAUCAUCUGAUUAUAGACAGUAUCAAUUCUAUGAACUUGCAUACUUCCAAAAAGAAAA